GAUCCAAGUUCUUGAUCUAUGCUCAGGUCCUCGUUUUCCUAGCCAAAAGGGGAGACGUGAAGUAGACAUGGGCCAGAUGGGCAGCGCAAGGCCCAGACUCCGUCUCUGACUCCAGAGGGGCAUUACAGCUGAAGUGGAGAGCAGGGUCAGUGGGAGAGGAAGAAGGUGCCAUCAGAAACGCAGGCCAUGUCUCCUAGAGAUAAAGUUUCGAUGGGUUGGUUUUUCAGUUGAAGAAGCUGGUAUUUGCAGCCGGAUCUCGAUCUCUGGCAAGCCCACCACAGAUCCCCGGUUAGUGACGAGGGGACAGAAUGAAGGGAAGAAGCAAAUUUCCAUUUAACAAGAAGUGGAUAGUCCUGAACCGCCCUGCCUUAUGGAUUUCUGAACUUUUUCUUUCUAAUUCUCUUAACCAAGUCCUGAGAUCCCCCACGCCUCAUCCUUCUCUCCUCCAAGCGCUUCUCACACAGCUGUUAGGGCUGCUGAGCUUAAUGGAAAAUUUCACAGUACACAGCAAGUCAAUUUUGGGUUGUCGCACCCAUUCAAAAGUUGUAGAAUGAGCUUGUUGCUCCAGCCUGGAACACAUCUAACUGGAACACAGAGGUAAGAGUUACAUAUGAACAACAGACUAGCUUCUCGGUCCUCUUGGCAUCCUCUAAAUCACCUUUCAUGAUACUCUUAUAUUACUUAGUCAUUCGCUCAUUUACUUAUUCAACAAAUAUUUACUAAGUCUUAAUAUGUGUCAGGCACCAUUCUCAAUGCUGAGGAUACAGCAAUGAACAAAAGGGACCGAAAUCCCUGCCCCUGUGAUAUUUACAAGCGAGUGCAGGGAAGGUCAGGCAAAACAAGAAAAACAUGUCAUGAAAAACAAAACAGUAGAGGAUUUAUUCCAGAUUACAAGAAACCAAAGAGACGUUACCAAGUACAAUGUGUAAACCUUGAUUCUAUCCGGGGUCAGAAAACAAACAGCUAAAUAUAUUUGAG